rnacentral:lncRNA from 1 species
AAGGAAUGGGUUGAGAAACUGACUGAAGUUUCUAUCAGCUCUGAUGCCUUCUUCCCUUUCCGAGAUAACGUAGACAGAGCUAAAAGGGUGGUGUGGCGUACAUUGCGGCUCCCUCCGGUUCUGCUGCUGACAAAGUUGUGAUUGAGGCCUGCGACGAACUGGGAAUCAUCCUCGCUCAUACGAACCUUCGGCUCUUCCACCACUGAUUUUACCACACACUGUUUUUUGGCUUGCUUAUGUGUAGGUGAACAGUCACGCCUGAAACUUUGAGGAUAACUUUUUAAAAAAAUAAAACAGUAUCUCUUAA